rnacentral:rRNA from 1 species
GUAUCUUGUUGCUUCGGCGGGCCCGCCGUUUCGACGGCCGCCGGGGAGGCCUUGCGCCCCCGGGCCCGCGCCCGCCGAAGACCCCAACAUGAACGCUGUUCUGAAAGUAUGCAGUCUGAGUUGAUUAUCGUAAUCAGUUAAAACUUUCAACAACGGAUCUCUUGGUUCCGGCAUCGAUGAAGAACGCAGCGAAAUGCGAUAAGUAAUGUGAAUUGCAGAAUUCAGUGAAUCAUCGAGUCUUUGAACGCACAUUGCGCCCCCUGGUAUUCCGGGGGGCAUGCCUGUCCGAGCGUCAUUGCUGCCCUCAAGCACGGCUUGUGUGUUGGGCCCCCGUCCCCCUCUCCCGGGGGACGGGCCCGAAAGGCAGCGGCGGCACCGCGUCCGGUCCUCGAGCGUAUGGGGCUUUGUCACCUGCUCUGUAGGCCCGGCCGGCGCCAGCCGACACCCAACUUUAUUUUUCUAAGGUUGACCUCGGAUCAGGUAGGGAUACCCGCUGAACUUAAGCAUAUCAAUAAGCGGGAGG